rnacentral:lncRNA from 1 species
AAGGAACAGAAAUCAAGAUCACUUGGUAUCAUCAGAACCCAAUUCCUCCACAACAUCAAGCCCUGGAUCCCCCAACACCCUGGAAAAUUAAGGUUUUGAUUUAAAAUCACAACUCAUGAUGUUAGAGGUCUUUAAGAAGGACAUUAAUAACUCUUAAAGACACAGGACAUUCAUAAAUAGGUAGAAUCCCUUAAAGAGAAAACACAAAUAACCCUUAAAGGAAAACAUAACCAAAAUGUGAUGGAAUUGAACAAAACCAUUCAUGAUCUAAUAAUGGAAAUAGAAACAAUAAAGAAAUCACAAAGGGAGAAAAACCUGGAGAUAGAAAACCUAAGAAAGAGAUCAGGAGUCAUAGACACAAGCAUUACCAACAGAAUACAUGAGAGAGAAGAGAGAAUCUUAGGGGCAAAAGAUACCAUAGAAAACAUUGAUACAACCAUCAAAGAAAAUAUAAAACAA